rnacentral:rRNA from 1 species
AUUGAACGCUGGCGGAAUGCUUUACACAUGCAAGUCGAACGGCAGCACGGACUUCGGUCUGGUGGCGAGUGGCGAACGGGUGAGUAAUGUAUCGGAACGUGCCCAGUCGUGGGGGAUAACGUAGUGAAAAUUACGCUAAUACCGCAUACGAUCUAUGGACGAAAGCGGGGGAUCGCAAGACCUCGCGCGAUUGGAGCGGCCGAUAUCAGAUUAGGUAGUUGGUGGGGUAAAGGCCCACCAAGCCAACGAUCUGUAGCUGGUCUGAGAGGACGACCAGCCACACUGGAACUGAGACACGGUCCAGACUCCUACGGGAGGCAGCAGUGGGGAAUUUUGGACAAUGGGCGAAAGCCUGAUCCAGCCAUUCCGCGUGCAGGAUGAAGGCCCUCGGGUUGUAAACUGCUUUUGUACAGAACGAAAAGGUUUCUACUAAUACUAGGAGCUCAUGACGGUACUGUAAGAAUGAGCACCGGCUAACUACGUGCCAGCCGCCGCGGUAA